GUCGUGUCGCAGCUUCUUUUCUUCUUCUAAAGCAAGAAGUACAAAUGACUCCAUAGAAAACCAGAGUCCUCAGACUGAUGAUGAAGGACUGAUGAAGGAGAAUCAGCAGCAGUUUCUCUCUCUGUGUUUCCUCUGCAGGUGAAGCUACAAAGACUCUGUGACUGGAUGUGGAUCUGAAUUCACCUGGUGUUUCUCUGCUAUGGAUCAGUGUGAGGACAGAGAGGAGG